GACGAACGCUGGCGGCGUGCUUAACACAUGCAAGUCGAACGGAAAGGCCCUGCUUUUGUGGGUUGCUCGAUUGGCGAACGGGUGAGUAACACGUGAGUAACCUGCCCUUGACUUUGGGAUAACUUCAGGAAACUGGGGCUAAUACCGGAUAGGAGCUCCUGCUGCAUGGUGGGGGUUGGAAAGUUUCGGCGGUUGGGGAUGGACUCGCGGCUUAUCAGCUUGUUGGUGGGGUAGUGGCUUACCAAGGCUUUGACGGGUAGCCGGCCUGAGAGGGUGACCGGCCACAUUGGGACUGAGAGACGGCCCAGAAUCCUACGGGAGGCAGCAGUGGGGAAUAUUGCACAAUGGGCGGAAGCCUGAUGCAGCAACGCCGCGUGCGGGAUGACGGCCUUCGGGUUGUAAACAGCUGUCGCCUGUGACGAAGCGUGAGUGACGGUAAUGGGUAAAGAAGCACCGGCUAACUACGUG
rnacentral:rRNA from 1 species